UAUGUGGAGUAAUGGUUGAUG
rnacentral:piRNA from 1 species